UCCAUCUAAAGCUAAAUACCGGCGGGAGACCGAUAGCGAACAAGUAGAGUGAUCGAAAGAUGAAAAGCACUUUGAAAAGAGAG
rnacentral:rRNA from 1 species